GUUUAGGUAGUUUAUUAAAAACUUUGGUUUGUGGUGCUAAGAAAGAUUGAGUUGGUCCCUAGACU
rnacentral:tRNA from 1 species